UACAGAGGGGGCAAGCGUUAUUCGGAAUUAUUGGGCGUAAAGGGCACGUAGGCGGCCUGACAAGUGGAAGGUGAAAUCCCUCGGCUUAACCGAGGAACUGCCCUCCAAACUGUUUGGCUUGAGACCGGGAGAGGUGAGUGGAAUUCCCCAAGUAGAGGUGAAAUUCGUAGAUAUGGGGAGGAACACCGGUGGCGAAGGCGGCCAUCUGGACGGAUACUGACGCUGAGACGCGAAAGCGUGGGUAGCAAACAGG
rnacentral:rRNA from 1 species